AGGCGGCAGCUCUUGCCGCAGCGGAGAAGGCCGGCGGCUUUCGGGAGUGACCGCCAACAGCCCUCGCCGUGGGUGCGGAUAUGUGCGAUAAGCCGGUCGUCUUCUUCCUUAGUCCAGGCUCCCUUGUUGGUGUGGGCUUUCUCGCAGCAUGGAGACCUCCCCAUGACUCUGUUGUUGUGGAUGGUGUUACCUUCUUCUUCUUCUGCUACUUAUGGAGUCCCA
rnacentral:misc_RNA from 1 species